ensembl:lncRNA
UCAUCCUGCUAGUUCACACACCUGAGAGCAGCGUUGGUUGGAGGACAGAUUAUUGCAGGCGCUGCUUCAUUCUACGUGUCUCAAAACGAGAUGAUACUGAAUAUAUUUCAUCUAAUCACAUUAAGCUAAUACAUUUUCUUGCCAGUCCUGCUUGGCGAGGGACAAUUAGUCCAAUCAGCUGUUCCGACUCCGGGAAGUGACCGUGAUCAAGUCCAGACAGACUGAAGGUGUGGAAGAAUCGAACAUUUGUCCGCAUCAGCGUAGGAGAGGGUGCGGGCAGAGAGAGGACAACAUCUGUCUGCGCGGUGUUAUGGGCUCUUUUGAUUUGUGCCCCGGUCCAGAUGGGCCGUCACGCCGCGAGCUUUCCAACGGCAAACGCCACAGUAACAAAAUGACUCGGGGCUGUGAUCCAAUGAUGGCGACGCUCAGCGGGACAAACAAAAGGCCAGAUGAAUGGGCAUCUGUUGCGGUAGAUCGUCCCCUCCUGUCCCAUGAAGCCUGCCGAAGAAAAACUUUUAAAUGUCACAGCGUGAAAGACCUGAGGGAUGAGAAAGAACUGCAUUGCAGGCCCGUCAGUGAUGCGCCUUGAGCAACAAUAGUCCCGGAAUGAUUACUGUAACUCGUACCCACCCACAGCUGUGCAGCCAACGGCGGUAACCCCGACUGUUUUACCCGGGCGGCUGGAUGCCGAAGCCUCCCGAGUUCCGCUGUGCUGAGCACCAGCAGCUAGAUCGUGGCCUCAGAGGCCAGGAGGAGUCGUCCUCCUGCAGCAAGACGCACUUCUUAAGGCAAGACAGAGCACCUGAUACUCUGGAAUUAUAAUUAUGCAACGUUGUAAGAUGGAAAGCAAUUUCAUCAGUGUCACAUUGUGUACACGAUUACAUUCUUACAAAACGCGGCGAGGGUUCUUGCACCUGGAGAAGGGAGAGACUGUUGCCAUCUGAAAUUAAUUUACUCAUGAGUGCUGGCAGCUCCGUCCUCGCAUAACAUUCCCAUUGUUCCCCCGUGUUCUCUAAAUUAUUCUGUCGGAUGAAACAACACUUUAUCGUUCCGGUUAAACAUCGCGUGGGAUUAUGGGUAUUAUGAACUUCCUGUGAUCAGGGCGACACUCUUUUUAUUCUGUGUGUGGAUGACCCUCUGUAUCCCAUUCUCGCACUUUUAUUAUUUUAUUCAUGAGAUCUGCUGAUACAUUACGAGGGCUGGAUGGAGACACGGGAAUCCAUUCGGCGUCGGUUCCUCUGCUGGAGGUCGAUCAGUGGCGUGUGGCCCAUUGUCAUGUUACAAAGUGCCCGUCGGGGUUUUGCUUCAGCGGAGGUCUUCAUUUCCUUUUUCGCUUGUGUCACUUGUUUCAGAUGCUUGUCUGCUUAUUGAUGACUCUUUGCUCCCUGGCACUGCAAUAUGCAUCAAUUAAAAAUUAAAAAAAAAAAAAUCUCCUCCCCUCUUUUUUGUCCUCGCUUGACUGUCGGAUCAAA